rnacentral:rRNA from 1 species
UACGGAGGGUGCAAGCGUUAUCCGGAUUCACUGGGUUUAAAGGGUGCGUAGGAGGGCAGGUAAGUCAGUGGUGAAAUCUCCGAGCUUAACUCGGACACUGCCGUUGAUACUAUCUGUCUUGAAUACCGUGGAGGUGAGCGGAAUAUGUCAUGUAGCGGUGAAAUGCUUAGAUAUGACAUAGAACACCAAUUGCGAAGGCAGCUCACUACACGAGCAUUGACUCUGAGGCACGAAAGCGUGGGGAUCAAACAGG